AUCCUUGGAACUCCAAGUGGGACUUCUUAAAAGAUUUAUAAGGAACAAAGAUGUCAGGAAAGCAGAAAUACACACGGACUCCAUGACUAGAAAAACCUCGUGGUGGCCUGCUCUCCGGUGCUUGGAAGUGUGCUAGUUACAUCUUGGAGGCCUGAUUUUCUUAACUCCACCCUGCUGAGAAGAUGCCCUCCAGGAGGCUGUGCUUGCAGACUCCACGGAGCCUCUCUCAAGAUUUCCUGAACCUUGUGGAUUUACAGUAAGACGAAGUUCCCUGGGGAGUAAUUCUGGUGGAUGCAAAUUCUGGAGUAAUACACCUGGCCUGCCUAGAGAUGUUACAAGUGGCCUAAUGGAUUUUUCUAGCCUGGACGCCCACUGGGGACAAGGAUCAUUACUGACAGGAUUGUAUCUCUACCCUUGACUCCAUGGGAAUAUUUGGUCUGCUCUCUCGGGCUCCCUCUAAAAUGGUUGACAGAGCUGAGGCUCACAACAGGCUGAACAUGUGCCUGAUGCUUUGCACAGGGUCAGGACCAGCUUCUGGGGAGGGUGAGCAUUGGUUGGCCCUGAGAAGAUUCUAAGGAGCCAGCCCUAGCUGUCCUGAAAUGAGCUCCCAAGACUAGGCUGGUUUGGAACUCACAGAACUCCAGGCUGCCUCUGAGAGCAAAGGCACGCACCAUCACAUGC
rnacentral:lncRNA from 1 species